GAUGAACGCUGACAGAAUGCUUAACACAUGCAAGUCAACUUGAACUUCGGUUUGGGUGGCGGACGGGUGAGUAACGCGUAAAGAACUUGCCUCACAGAUAGGGACAACAUUUGGAAACGAAUGCUAAUACCUGAUAUUAUGAUUUUAGGGCAUCCUAGGAUUAUGAAAGCUAUAUGCGCUGUGAGAGAGCUUUGCGUCCCAUUAGCUAGUUGGAGAGGUAACGGCUCACCAAGGCGAUGAUGGGUAGCCGGCCUGAGAGGGUGAUCGGCCACAAGGGGACUGAGACACGGCCCUUACUCCUACGGGAGGCAGCAGUGGGGAAUAUUGGACAAUGGACCAAGAGUCUGAUCCAGCAAUUCUGUGUGCACGAUGAAGUUUUUCGGAAUGUAAAGUGCUUUCAGUUGGGAAGAAAAAAAUGACGGUACCAACAGAAGAAGUGACGGCUAAAUACGUGCCAGCAGCCGCGGUAAUACGUAUGUCACAAGCGUUAUCCGGAUUUAUUGGGCGUAAAGCGCGUCUAGGUGGUUAUGUAAGUCUGAUGUGAAAAUGCAGGGCUCAACUCUGUAUUGCGUUGGAAACUGCAUGACUAGAGUACUGGAGAGGUAAGCGGAACUACAAGUGUAGAGGUGAAAUUCGUAGAUAUUUGUAGGAAUGCCGAUGGGGAAGCCAGCUUACUGGACAGAUACUGACGCUAAAGCGCGAAAGCGUGGGUAGCAAACAGG
rnacentral:rRNA from 1 species